GAUGAACGCUGGCGGCGUGCCUAAUACAUGCAAGUCGAACGGACGUACCAUGUUCUUUCUGCUCUGGUGUUGUCGCCAGACGGGGGGUUAAACCUGGGAUAACCGCCCUAUACUACUGGGAUAACGUCUGGAAACCUGACCUAUACCGGGAUAAUUGUUUGUACCGCAUGGUUCAAAAGUAAAAGAUGCUCUUGCGUGCAGUUAUGGAUGGAGCGGUGCUGCAUUAGCUAGUUGGUAAGGGAACGGCUUACCAAGGCAACGAUGCCUAGCCGCCGUGAGCGGGGGAUCGGCCACCAUGGAGCUGAGAAACGGUACAGACUACUACGGGAGGCAGCAGUAGGGAAUCUUACGCAAUGGGCGAAAGAAGGCUGGAGCAACGCCGUGGGAGUGAUGAAGGUCUUCGGCUCGUAAAAAUCUGCUAUUAGGGAAGAAGAUAUGUGUACGUAACUGUGUACAGCUUGCCGUAGCCUAAUUAGAAAGCGCCGGCUAACUACGUG
rnacentral:rRNA from 1 species